CCUCUUAUUUCCUCCCAAACCCUGUAGACCUCUAUUCUGCUCUCACAAUAACAAUUAAGUACAAGAAGCUUUAAUCCCUAUGGAAACUACAACUACUCAAAAAGAGGUGGAGCCAGUGGAGGUAACCAACAAAGUAUCUCCAACUACUUUGCUGGAACCUGAGCUUGACGGUGAUAAAACUCGUGAUAUUACUCCCAAUCAUGCUAAAAAGCGGAAACAAACAACUCUUUGCGACCCUGAUCGUAGCCCUGUGAGUAGUGACAGGAGAACAUCCGGCGUUUGGAAACACUAUUCUGAAUAUCUUGAUAAAUGGGAUCAUAAGGGUGAGACAAUUGCUAAGGGGAUUGAGGCGUGCUUAUUUGAUUGGGAAA